UCAGGUACUAGGUGACUCUGAG
rnacentral:miRNA from 1 species